rnacentral:rRNA from 1 species
GUAGGUGGCAGAGUAUGUCUGUAGUGAAAGCGUGUGGCUCAACCAUAUACACAUUACAGAAACUGCUCAGCUAGAGGACGAGAGAGGUUAUUGGAAUUCCUUGUGUAGGAGUGAAAUCCGUAGAUAUAAGGAGGAACACCGAUGGCGUAGGCAGAUAACUGGCUCGUUCCUGACACUAAGGCACGAAAGCGUGGGUAGCAAACGGGAUUAGAUACCCCGGUAGUCCACGCCGUAAACGAUGGAUGCUAGCUGUUAUGGGUAUCGACCCCCGUAGUAGCGAAGCUAACGCGUUAAGCAUCCCGCCUGUGGAGUACGGUCGCAAGACUAAAACAUAAAGGAAUUGACGGGGACCCGCACAAGCGGUGGAGCGUGUUGUUUAAUUCGAUGGUAAACGAAGAACCUUACCCAGGUUUGACAUCCUUGGAAUUUUGCCGAAAGGCGAGAGUGCUUUAUUGAGCCAAGUGACAGGUGUUGCAUGGCCGUCGUCAGCUCGCGUCGUGAGAUGUUUGGUUAAGUCCAUCAACGAGCGCAACCCUUAUGGUCUGUUGUAUUUCUCAGGCCAGACUGCCCCGGUAACGGGGAGGAAGGGGGGGAUGAUGUCAGGUCAGUAUUACCCUUACAUCUGGGGCUACAAACACGCUACAAUGGCCGGUACAAAGGGCAGCUAACCCGCGAGGGGGAGCAAAUCCCAUCAAAGCCGGUCUCAGUUCGGAUAGCAGGCUGAAACUCGCCUGCUUGAAGUCGGAAUCGCUAGUAACGGUAGGUCAGCUAUACUACCGUGAAUACGUUCCCGGGUCUUGUACACACCGCCCGUCAAACCAUGAAAGUCACCAAUACCUGACGUGUUGCCUUCGCGCAGCCCUAAGGUAGGGGGGAUGAUUGGGGUU